AUGUUUACAAUAUCAUGUUUGGUGCUGAAAUAAUGGCGACGGUGUGGCGGCUUAUAAAUAAUGGUACGUGAUAUCAUGUAUGCUGCUAUGUAGCGGGGAGCGUGUUUAUGAGGUUCUAACCAUAUGACGACAAGCGUAGUUUGAGACUUCCUUCCUUUAUUGCCAAGCUUAGGAAAGAACUGGCAGAGCGCUAAGCUUCAAUUUGAAGCGGAUUUUUAUUCAAGUUUAAACAGGUUUAUCCGUUGGAGGGCAUGGUGGAGCGACAAAAUUUAUCAUAGAAAUGUUAUAUAUCGAAAUGUUUUUCGUGCAAUAAAUCAAAAUCAACUAAUGUGA